rnacentral:rRNA from 1 species
UUAAUUGAAGAGUUUGAUCAUGGCUCAGAUUGAACGCUGGCGGCAGGCCUAACACAUGCAAGUCGAGCGGUAACAGAAAUUAGCUUGCUAAUUUGCUGACGAGCGGCGGACGGGUGAGUAAUGCCUGGGAAUAUGCCUU